GACGAACGCUGGCGGCGUGCCUAAUACAUGCAAGUAGGACGCAGUUGCGAACGGGAGAGUAACGCGUAGGUAACUACCUAUUAGAGGGGGAUAACUAUUGGAAACGCUAGCUAAUACCGCAUACUAGUAGAUGGACCUUCGUUGUAUUAGCUAGUAGGUAGGGUAAUGGCCUACCCAGGCAACGAUACAUAGCCGAGCUGGGUGGGUUAACGGCCAAACUGGGACUGAGAAACGGCCCAGACUCCCACGGGAGGCAGCAGUAGGGAAUCUUCGGCAAUUGGGGGAACCCUGACCGAGCAACGCCGCGUGGGUGAAGAAGGGUUUCGGAUCGUAAAGCUCUGUUGUGAAGGAAGCGGUACUUACCCAGAAAGGGACGGCUAACUACGUGCCAGCAGCCGCGGUAAUAC
rnacentral:rRNA from 1 species